CCGGCAAACGGGUGCGGAACACGUACGCAACCUUCCCAUAACUGGUGAAUAGCCUUCCGAAAGGGAGAUUAAUACACCGUAACAUAACGAGAUGGCAUCAUCUUGUUAUUAUAGCUUCGGCGGUUUUGGAUGGGCGUGCGCCUGAUUAGGUAGUUGGCGGGGUAACGGCCCACCAAGCCUCCGAUCAGUAACUGGUGUGAGAGCACGACCAGUCACACGGGCACUGAGACACGGGCCCGACUCCUACGGGAGGCAGCAGUGGGGAAUUUUCCGCAAUGGGCGCAAGCCUGACGGAGCAACGCCGCGUGAGGGAUGAAGGCCUCUGGGCUGUAAACCUCUUUUAUCAAGGAAGAAGAACUGACGGUACUUGAUGAAUAAGCCACGGCUAAUUCCGUGCCAGCAGCCGCGGUAAUACGGGAGUGGCAAGCGUUAUCCGGAAUUAUUGGGCGUAAAGCGUCCGCAGGCGGUUUUACAAGUCUGUCGUUAAAGCGUGGAGCUCAACUCCAUUUCAGCGAUGGAAACUGUAAGACUCGAGUGUGGUAGGGGCAGAGGGAAUUCCCGGUGUAGCGGUGAAAUGCGUAGAUAUCGGGAAGAACACCAGUGGCGAAAGCGCUCUGCUGGGCCAUAACUGACGCUCAUGGACGAAAGCCAGGGGAGCGAAAGGGAUUAGAUACCCCUGUAGUCCUGGCCGUAAACGAUGAACACUAGGUGUCGGGGGAAUCGACCCCCUCGGUGUCGUAGCCAACGCGUUAAGUGUUCCGCCUGGGGAGUACGCACGCAAGUGUGAAACUCAAAGGAAUUGACGGGGGCCCGCACAAGCGGU
rnacentral:rRNA from 1 species